UUACGGUCACAUCAUGUUGAAACAUCGUUUCCCGUAAGAACACCAAAGUUAAGCAAUGUCGAACCUGGUCACUAACUAGAUGGGUGACCGCUUGGGAAUAACAGGUGCUGUAAG